GGUUAAGCGACUAAGCGUACACGGUGGAUGCCCUGGCAGUCAGAGGCGAUGAAGGGCGUGCUAAUCUGCGAUAAGCGCCGGUAAGGUGAUAUGAACCGUUAUAACCGGCGAUACCCGAAUGGGGAAACCCAGUGUGACUCGUCACACUAUCAUUAACUGAAUCCAUAGGUUAAUGAGGCGAACCGGGGGAACUGAAACAUCUAAGUACCCCGAGGAAAAGAAAUCAACCGAGAUUCCCCCAGUAGCGGCGAGCGAACGGGGAGGAGCCCAGAGCCUGAAUCAGCAUGUGUGUUAGUGGAAGCGUCUGGAAAGGCGCGCGAUACAGGGUGACAGCCCCGUACACAAAAGCGCAUGUGCUGUGAGCUCGAUGAGUAGGGCGGGACACGUGGUAUCCUGUCUGAAUAUGGGGGGACCAUCCUCCAAGGCUAAAUACUCCUGACUGACCGAUAGUGAACCAGUACCGUGAGGGAAAGGCGAAAAGAACCCCGGCGAGGGGAGUGAAAAAGAACCUGAAACCGUGUACGUACAAGCAGUGGGAGCACAGGUUUACCUGUGUGACUGCGUACCUUUUGUAUAAUGGGUCAGCGACUUAUAUUCUGUAGCAAGGUUAACCGAAUAGGGGAGCCGGAGGGAAACCGAGUCUUAAUUGGGCGUUAAGUUGCAGGGUAUAGACCCGAAACCCGGUGAUCUAGCCAUGGGCAGGUUGAAGGUUGGGUAACACUAACUGGAGGACCGAACCGACUAAUGUUGAAAAAUUAGCGGAUGACCUGUGGCUGGGGGUGAAAGGCCAAUCAAACCGGGAGAUAGCUGGUUCUCCCCGAAAGCUAUUUAGGUAGCGCCUCGUGAACUCAUCUCCGGGGGUAGAGCACUGUUUCGGCUAGGGGGCCAUCCCGGCUUACCAACCCGAUGCAAACUGCGAAUACCGGAGAAUGUUAUCACGGGAGACACACGGCGGGUGCUAACGUCCGUCGUGAAGAGGGAAACAACCCAGACCGCCAGCUAAGGUCCCAAAGUCAUGGUUAAGUGGGAAACGAUGUGGGAAGGCCCAGACAGCCAGGAUGUUGGCUUAGAAGCAGCCAUCAUUUAAAGAAAGCGUAAUAGCUCACUGGUCGAGUCGGCCUGCGCGGAAGAUGUAACGGGGCUAAACCAUGCACCGAAGCUGCGGCAGCGA
rnacentral:rRNA from 1 species